GGCGAACGCUGGCGGCAGGCCUAACACAUGCAAGUCGAACGAAGUCUUCGGACUUAGUGGCGGAUGGGUGAGUAACACGUGGGAACGUACCUUUUGGUUCGGAACAACUCAGGGAAACUUGAGCUAAUACCGGAUGAGCCCUUAGGGGGAAAGAUUUAUCGCCGAAAGAGCGGCCCGCGUUAGAUUAGCUAGUUGGUGAGGUAAAGGCUCACCAAGGCUACGAUCUAUAGCUGGUCUGAGAGGAUGAUCAGCCACACUGGGACUGAGACACGGCCCAGACUCCUACGGGAGGCAGCAGUGGGGAAUCUUGCGCAAUGGGCGAAAGCCUGACGCAGCCAUGCCGCGUGAAUGAUGAAGGUCUUAGGAUUGUAAAAUUCUUUUACCAGGGACGAUAAUGACGGUACCUGGAGAAAAAGCCCCGGCUAACUUCGUGCCAGCCGCCGCAGUAA
rnacentral:rRNA from 1 species